UGGGGAAUAUUGGACAAUGGAGGCAACUCUGAUCCAGCAAUUCUGUGUGUGUGAAGAAGGUUUUAGGACUGUAAAACACUUUUAGUAGGGAAGAAAAAAAUGACGGUACCUACAGAAGAAGCGACGGCUAAAUACGUGCCAGCAGCCGCGGUAAUACGUAUGUCGCGAGCGUUAUCCGGAAUUAUUGGGCUUAAAGGGCAUCUAGGCGGUUAAACAAGUUGAAGGUGAAAACCUGUGGCUCAACCAUAGGCUUGCCUACAAAACUGUUGAACUAGAGUACUGGAAAGGUGGGUGGAACUACACGAGUAGAGGUGAAAUUCGUAGAUAUGUGUAGGAAUGCCGAUGAUGAAGAUAACUCACUGGACAGAAACUGACGCUGAAGUGCGAAAGCUAGGGGAGCAAACAGG
rnacentral:rRNA from 1 species